rnacentral:rRNA from 1 species
GGAAAGGUGAAAAGCACCCCGGGAGGGGAGUGAAAUAGAACCUGAAACCGUGUGUUUACAAUCAGUCGGAGUGCUAUGAAUCAAGCACGACGGCGUACUUUUUGUAGAACGGACCGGCGAGAGGCGGUAUGCAGCGAGGUUAAGCGAAAGCGGAGCCGCAGCGAAAGCGAGUCUGAAUAGGGCAUAAGUUGCAUGUCGCAGACCCGAAACCAGGUGAUCUAUCCAUGGCCAGGGUGAAGCGGAUGUAAAAAUUCGUGGAGGCCCGAACCUCAACGACGUUGAAAAGUCGUGGGAUGAGCUGUGGAUGGGGGUGAAAUGCCAAUCGAACCUGGAGAUAGCUGGUUCUCCCCGAAAUAGCUUUAGGGCUAGCCUCAAAGUAAGAAUCAUGGAGGUAGAGCACUGAUUGGGCUAGGGGCCCUACCAGGUUACCGAACCCAUUCAAACUCCGAAUUCCAUGAUUUGUUCUUUGGGAGUCAGACUAUGUGGGAUAAGCUUCAUAGUCGAGAGGAAAACAGUCCAGACCAACAGCUAAGGUCCCAAAGCACGAACUAAGUGGGAAAGGAUGUAGGACUGCCCAGACAACCAGGAUGUUGGCUUAGAAGCAGCCAUUCAUUCAAAGAGUGCGUAAUAGCUCACUGGUCGAGUGGUCCUGCGCCGAAAAUGUAACGGGGCUCAAGUUCGUCACCGAAGCUUUGGAAUCCGUAAGGAUUGGUAGGGGAGCGUUCUGCAGGCGCAGAAGCCAUACCGAAAGGAGUGGUGGAGUCUGCAGAAGUGAGAAUGCCGGUAUGAGUAGCGAGAAGGCAGGUGAGAAUCCUGCCCGCCGAAAGCCUAAGGUUUCCUGAGGAAGGCUCGUCCGCUCAGGGUAAGUCGGGACCUAAGCCGAGGCCGAUUGGCGUAGGCGAUGGACAACAGGUUGAGAUUCCUGUACCACCUAUACACCGUUAUGAGCGAAGGGGGGACGCAGGAGGGUAAGCUAGCCUGCUGAUGGAAUAGCAGGUCCAAGCCAGUAGGAUGGACAUCCAGGCAAAUCCGGAAGUCCGCGUAUCCGAGAGGUGAUGGGGAGCGGGUAAAUCCUGCGGAAGUAGCUGAUCCCAUACUGCCGAGAAAAGCCUCUAGCCAGGUGUAGGGUGCCCGUACCGCAAACCGACACAGGUAGGCGAGAAGAGAAUUCUAAGGCGCGCGAGAGAACCCUUGUUAAGGAACUCGGCAAAUUGACCCUGUAACUUUGGGAGAAAGGGUGCCCUGUUAUCGUGAAGGAGCUAGCCUCUGGAGCGAGAGAGGGUUGCAGUGAAACGGCCCAAGCGACUGUUUAGCAAAAACACAGGUCUCUGCUAAGUCGAAAGACGAAGUAUAGGGGCUGACGCCUGCCCGGUGCUGGAAGGUUAAGGGGAAAGGUUAGCGCAAGCGAAGCUUUGAACCGAAGCCCCAGUGAACGGCGGCCGUAACUAUAACGGUCCUAAGGUAGCGAAAUUCCUUGUCGGGUAAGUUCCGACCCGCACGAAUGGCGUAACGACUUGGGCGCUGUCUCAACAAGGGACUCGGUGAAAUUGCAAUACCCGUGAAGAUGCGGGUUACCCGCGACAAGACGGAAAGACCCCAUGGAGCUUUACUGUAACCUGAUAUUGGACUUUGGUGCUGGAUGUACAGGAUAGGUGGGAGGCAGGGAACUGACGGCGUCAGCUGUCAGGGAGCCGACGGUGGGAUACCACUCUUCUAGUACUGGAGUUCUAACUGUGACCCGUAAACCGGGCACAGGACAGUAUCUGGCGGGCAGUUUGACUGGGGCGGUCGCCUCCUAAAGAGUAACGGAGGCGCCCAAAGGUUCCCUCAGCGCGGAUGGAAAUCGCGCGAAGAGUGUAAAGGCAGAAGGGAGCUUGACUGCGAGAGCAACACCUCGAGCAGGGACGAAAGUCGGGCUUAGUGAUCCGGUGGUCCCGAGUGGAAGGGCCAUCGCUCAACGGAUAAAAGCUACCCUGGGGAUAACAGGCUGAUCUCCCCCAA